rnacentral:rRNA from 1 species
CUGAGAUGGGGAGGAGGGGGGGUGUUAAGAGGUAGGGGGAGAGAGUUGUGCUAGGUUUGUGGGCGUAAAGAGCGGUUAUGGUGGCGGGCAGUUCCGCUGUGAAAACGCGAGGCUAAACCUCGAGAGGUGGGUUGAAACCGGUUGGCUAGAGUCGGGAAGAGGAGAGUGGAAUUCCCGGUGUAGCGGUGAAAUGCGCAGAUAUCGGGAAGAACACCCGUGGCGAAGGCGGCUCUCUGGGACGGUACUGACGCUGAGACGCGAAAGCGUGGGGAGCGAACAGGAUUAGAUACCCUAGUAGUC